rnacentral:rRNA from 1 species
AGUGAACGCUGGCGGUAGGCCUAACACAUGCAAGUCGAACGGCAGCACAGUAAGAGCUUGCUCUUACGGGAGGCGAGUGGCGGACGGGUGAGGAAUACAUCGGAAUCUACUUUUUCGUGGGGGAUAACGUAGGGAAACUUACGCUAAUACCGCAUACGACCUACGGGUGAAAGCAGGGGAUCUUCGGACCUUGCGCGAUUGAAUGAGCCGAUGUCGGAUUAGCUAGUUGGCGGGGUAAAGGCCCACCAAGGCGACGAUCCGUAGCUGGUCUGAGAGGAUGAUCAGCCACACUGGAACUGAGACACGGUCCAGACUCCUACGGGAGGCAGCAGUGGGGAAUAUUGGACAAUGGGCGCAAGCCUGAUCCAGCCAUACCGCGUGGGUGAAGAAGGCCUUCGGGUUGUAAAGCCCUUUUGUUGGGAAAGAAAAGCAGCAGGUUAAUACCCCGCUGUUCCGACGGUACCCAAAGAAUAAGCACCGGCUAACUUCGUG